rnacentral:rRNA from 1 species
CAAUAGCGUAUAUUAAAGUUGUUGCAGUUAGAACGCUCGUAGUCGGAUUUCGGGGCGGGCCGACCGGUCUGCCGAUGGGUACGCACUGGUCGGCGCGUCCUUCCUUCCGGAGACCGUGCCUACUCUUAACUGAGCGGGGGCGGGAGACGGAUCGUUUACUUUGAAAAAAUCAGAGUGUUUCAAGCAGGCAGCUCGCUCUUGCAUGGAUUAGCAUGGGAUAAUGAAAUAGGACUUUGGUGCUAUUUUGUUGGUUUCGAACACCGAAGUAAUGAUUAACAGGGACAGUCAGGGGCACUCGUAUUCCGCCGAGAGAGGUGAAAUUCUCAGACCAGCGGAAGACGAACCACUGCGAANGNAUUUGCNAGGGAUGCUUNCACUG